rnacentral:rRNA from 1 species
AGCUGGCGGCACGCCUUAUACAUGCAAGUCGAACGAAGUAGCAAUACUUAGUGGCAGACGGGUGAGUAACAUGUAGGUAUCUUCCCUUUGGUGAGGAAUAACACGAGGAAACUUGUGCUAAUACCUCAUAAGUCUUUACGGAGAAAGCUUUAUGCGCCAUUGGAUGAGCCUGCACUUGAUUAGUUUGUUGGUGGGGUAAUGGCCUACCAAGACUGUGAUCAAUAGCUGAUCUGAGAGGAUGAUCAGCCACAUUGGGACUGAGACACGGCCCAAACUCCUACGGGAGGCAGCAGUAGGGAAUAUUGCACAAUGGAGGAAACUCUGAUGCAGCGAUGCCGCGUGAGUGAAGAAGGCCUUUGGGUUGUAAAGCUCUUUCGUCGGGGAAGAAAAUGACUGUACCCGAAUAAGAAGGUCCGGCUAACUUCGUGCCAGCAGCCGCGGUAAUACGAAGGGACCUAGCGUAGUUCGGAAUUACUGGGCUUAAAGAGUUCGUAGGUUGUUAAAAAAGUUGGUGGUGAA